GAUGAACGCUGGCGGCGUGCCUAAUACAUGCAAGUCGAGCGAACAGACGAGGAGCUUGCUUCUCUGACGUUAGCGGCGGACGGGUGAGUAACACGUGGAUAACCUACCUAUAAGACUGGGAUAACUUCGGGAAACCGGAGCUAAUACCGGAUAAUAUAUUGAACCGCAUGGUUCAAUAGUGAAAGACGGUUUUGCUGUCACUUAUAGAUGGAUCCGCGCCGCAUUAGCUAGUUGGUAAGGUAACGGCUUACCAAGGCAACGAUGCGUAGCCGACCUGAGAGGGUGAUCGGCCACACUGGAACUGAGACACGGUCCAGACUCCUACGGGAGGCAGCAGUAGGGAAUCUUCCGCAAUGGGCGAAAGCCUGACGGAGCAACGCCGCGUGAGUGAUGAAGGUCUUCGGAUCGUAAAACUCUGUUAUUAGGGAAGAACAAAUGUGUAAGUAACUAUGCACGUCCUGACGGUACCUAAUCAGAAAGCCACGGCUAACUACGUG
rnacentral:rRNA from 1 species